rnacentral:rRNA from 1 species
UUUCGCAAUGCCCGAAAGGGUGACGGAGCGACGCCGCGUGGGUGAGGAAGGCCCUCGGGUUGUAAAGCCCUGUCAGGAGUUAAGAAACGUAAGUGCGCUAAUAUCGCAUUCAUUUGACGAAGGCUCCAAAGGAAGCCACGGCUAACUCUGUGCCAGCAGCCGCGGUAAUACAGAGGUGGCAAGCGUUGUUCGGAAUUAUUGGGCGUAAAGAGCACGUAGGUGGGUUUGUAAGUCAGAUGUGAAAGCCUUCUGUUCAACGGAAGAAUUGCAUCUGAAACUACAAGUCUUGAGUGUAGGAGGGGAGAAUGGAACUUCUGGUGGAGCGGUGAAAUGCGUAGAUAUCAGAAGGAACGCCGGCGGCGAAAGCGAUUCUCUGGCCUAUUACUGACACUCAGUGUGCGAAAGCUAGGGGAGCAAACGGGAUUAGAUACCCCGGUAGUCCUAGCCGUAAACGAUGGGCACUAAGUAGAGGGGUUUU